rnacentral:precursor_RNA from 15 species
UUCAGUGUUUUUUUUAAGAUAAUAAUUUUGUGAGAGGUCUAUCCUGACGCAUGUUUUAUUUUUUUGUUCAUCCUGCUUCAGGUUACACCUUCUCAAAGAGUUUUUAUCAAAGCCUCGUUUAUUUAUA